AGCGUCCUUAGAGGUCACAAGUAUCCUC
rnacentral:piRNA from 1 species